GACGAACGCUGGCGGCGUGCUUAACACAUGCAAGUCGAGCGGGAUCCAACCGGUGGCAACACCGGGGAAGAUCUAGCGGCGAACGGGUGAGUAACACGUGAGCAACCUGCCCCGAAGACUGGGAUAACACCGGGAAACCGGUGCUAAUACCGGAUGUCGUCAUUAGGCCGCAUGACCUGAUGAUGAAAGGAUUCAUCGCUUCGGGAGGGGCUCGCGGGCUAUCAGCUUGNGGUGGGGUAACGGCCUACCAAGGCGACGACGGCUAGCUGGUCUGAGAGGACGACCAGCCACACUGGGACUGAGACACGGCCCAGACUCCUACGGGAGGCAGCAGUGGGGAAUCUUGCGCAAUGGGCGAAAGCCUGACGCAGCAACGCCGCGUGGGGGAUGAAUGCCUUC
rnacentral:rRNA from 1 species